GGGCGCGUGGUGGAAUGGCAGACACGGAGGACUCAAAAUCCUCUGUCCGAGAGGACGUGCGGGUUCAAGUCCCGCCGCGCCCA
rnacentral:tRNA from 1 species